AACCAACUUGGAAGCGUGUCUGAAAUACUCGCAAGAGAGAUAUCAAGAACAGUAUAGUUGUUCUGAUUUUGAAGCCAUUUUGGGAAAGAAGGUCCCAAAUUGCAAGACGGCAGGCUUAUAACUUGUAGCUGAAAAGGAGGAAGCCAAUUGAAGCUCGUCUUCAGAGCCAAUGAGUUGAAUGACAAGUCCAAAUCCACUAAACUGGAGAGGUUUGAAAGGUGGGACUCAGUAAUUGUUCCCUUCAGGACAUUGUAAGAGGCAUCAAAACUUUCCAGAUUAGAUAGUUGCCCCAUACUUUCUGGUAGUCCUUCCAGUCUAUUGGACGAGAUAUCCAAAAUUCUAAGCUGUGAAAGUUUUCCGAUACCUUGUGGUAUCCUCCCUCGAAAUUGAUUAGAGCCAAGAUGCAACUCUCUCAAUGAUGGAAACAAUGCUAAAUCUGGUAAUGCCCCUCUCAUUUGGUUUUCAGACAAAUCCAGAUACUCAAGGGUAGAAACUUGUCCCGCACUUUCCAUAAAAGAACCAUUCAGCAUAUUCUUCUGCAGGUAUAAUUUCUUUAAGGAUGAAAAUCUUGUUGCAUUAACAAUUGAACCAAACAAUGAGUUUUCGUUCAACCCCAAAACCUCAAGUGAUUUCCUACUGCCUGCUAACCUGAGAAACAACUCAGGAAGCCAUUGGACUGUCUGAGUAUUAGACAUGUCCAGAUGACGUAAACGUGUCAAAUUCCCAAAAGAACUGGGAACCCCACCUUCAAUCUUUAAGUUAUUAGCAAGAUCAAGAUGUUCAAGAUACAUCAAGGUCCCAAAGCGAUCAUCAAUUUGACCGCUGAGUUGAUUAUAAAGGAGGUCAAUGCUAGUUAGGCUUGUGGUCAAAUUGAAUACCCAGCUAUAUUCAGAUGAAGAAGAAAACUCAUUACAACAUAAAUGAAGAACAGAAAGAGAUAUUAAAGAAGAAUUUGCUAAAUCAGCUUGAGAUGGAACCAACUUAGAGAGUCCACAACCACUCAAGUCCAGUUCUUUCAAUGAAGGGACCUUAGUUAUCUCUUGAAACCAAUUGUUUACUUGGAAGUUGCUAGAACUCAGACUCAAAAACUCUAGAGAAGACAGAUGAGAAAGCCAUCUAAGGUCCUUUACUAUAAGAUUAUUUUCUCCAAGAUCAAGAGUCCUUAAAGAAGUUAGAUUCUGGAACUGUAUUGGAAUUACACCAGAAAAAAAAGAAGCUGACAGGUUCAAGUACUCUAGUCUCUUAAGUGAGCCUAUGAAUCUUGGUAUUUCACUUCUUUCAAAUUCAUUAACACUGAGGUCCAAGUAAUUCAAGUACUCCAACUCAAGCAGAGAAGGGCUAAGUUUACCUGUCAAUCUAGGAGCAAAACAAGCACUGGCACCAGCAGAACAAGUAAACUUAUUGUGUAGAUCAAUAACAGUUACAUGACCUGUUCUUCUGUCACAUUCAAUACCCUUCCAUUUGCAGCAUUCUUGUUUAUCUUCUUCAUCACCCCAUGUAGAUAAAUGAUCAAAAGAAUCAGUAAGACCUCUUUUGAACUCAAGAAGAGCAUCUCUCUCCUUAUCUAAACAUAGGGUCUUGUUACCACCUAAUCCAAAAGAUGUCUCUAGGAACAGUAGAGACAAAGUGAAAAGGAACUGUGCUAAUCUUGCAAAUUUCCAUUUGUCCAUUGUUUUUUGCUUGAAACUAUGAGCAAGAAGCAAUUAAUAUAUACAUAUAUAUAUAUAUUUACCAUUGACUAGUUCUUGCAUGUAUCUAUGUACUUUCCUAGAUAAGUGACCCCACUUUGAUAAGAAAAAAGAAUGAAAAGUAGAGUUAUUCAUUGCAUCUCAUUUUUGUCCCACUUUGGCUAGUAGCAUAAACAAGUUACAUGGAAACUUCUAAACCAAAAAGACUAAGAAAAGCAAAAUGAAUAAAGGGCCACAUCAAAUAUCCAUGUAAACUUCCAAGUUCCAACAAUAUCACCUAAUUUUCUCUUGCAUGAAUCUAUUUUUCCUAGAAAACUUGAAAGGUCAUUUAUCAAUUAGGAAAUUUAAUGCUCAGAUAUCCUAAAUUUACAGACUUUGCUCUAGUUAUUUUAACAACUUUAGUUGGACAUAAAAACAAGUGAGUCCCCACUUUGAGAAGAAAAAAAAAGAAUCAAAAGAAAAGUUAUAUUGCACAUAACAUGGGAUUUUUCUGCCAAUUUGGCUAGUAGCAUUAACAAAUUCAUGGAGAUGGAGUCAAAGAAGACUUCUAUAGAAAAAGCACUACUCUCUCUGUAUAAUAAAAUUUACAAGCUAAUUUAUGUAGAUAAAUUUAUGGAAAAAUGACAGAAAUUUUCACCUUUAAGUUCUCUUAUUACCAAUAUCCCUUAUUAGUUUUAUAAAUUCCCAAAAUUUCUUAUUUUCAUGUAUUCGAUUAAUGUAUCAGCGCAUCAAAUUAAUGUAUCUCGCACAUCAUAUUAAUGUAUCGUUCACAUCAGAUUAGUGUAUCAAGUAUAAAAAAUGUACAUCAAUUAGUGUAUCAUGUAUAAAAUGUAAUGUAUCUUACUUAACAAUUAAUAUAUAUCGCCUCAUCAGAUUAAUGUAUCAGCGCUUAUAUCAUUAUAUCAGUUUGAGAGAUUUUUGUAAUUAUAAAUUUAUAAGGGACAAAUGUAAUUUUGCCUUAAAAGUAUGUGAUUUUUGUCUUUUGCCUUAAAUUUAUUGAUACAAAUAUAAAACAUAAACUCAAAAAAAUAAAUAGAAUGACUAAAAUAAUUUGCGGGAUAUUUUUGUGUUUACAUAUAUUAAAUUUUAUGUAUUAUAAAUACCACCAAAUGGAAUGUAUUAGUAAUACAUCCGACAAUAUCAUGCAGAGUGUGUAACUAAUGUAUGGAUUAAUUAUACAUAGGUCCAAAAUUCAUACCAAAUAUAAUAUUAAAUAAUAUCGUACAUAAUACAUGAACGAUUUCUCCUAAUACUUUCUACCAAGGCUCGUAACUAUCGAAUGAGUAUAUUAUAUUUGUUAAUGUGAAUAUGCAAUAUAUAGUAUUAAAAUAGUGAUAUAAUACUCAAAAGGAAAAUAGUAAAAAGACGAUUUUGUUAAAGUGAAGUCUUUCAACGAAGGGUAAAAUAUCCAAAAAAAAAAACAUUAUUAUGGAUAUUUCAACUUUUGAUAUAAUAUCAUAUAAUAUAAAUAGAUAUAGAUAUAUAUAUAUAGAUACAUAACAUUCAUUGCAAAACAAGUAGACUGGCACAAGAAAUCCUAGUUUAAACUUAUAUUUUGUUUGAACAUUCCAUAACUAUUAUAGUAAGAUACUACUAUAUAUGUAUACUAAUAUUUGAAUUUCUAUUACAAACAAAAGCAUGUAGAGAAAAUAGUUUAAUGGUUUUGUGUUAAAAAAUAAUGAGCAUAUUUCAGUAUUUGUCAACUAGUUAAACCAAAAACACAUAAAGAUUAUGAAAGUAAAAAGACAAAUACCAAUAGUAUUUUCUCGCAAAGUUAUGACUAUAAUUGAUGGAUAGCAUUAAAAUACAAUUUUUUUUCCUUUUAGAUAUUGAUACUUGAAAUUUACUAUGUGCAUUACAUUAAUGAUGAUUUCGAUAUAUGUAUGAUUGUUGUAAUGGAGUAAUUUUACUAUACAAUAUUUUGGGUGAUUUUAAAAAGAGUUUACUGUUAUAAUGAAUCACAUUUCGAUUAUAGGCAGAUCAUGUUAUUAUAGAGAAGUAAAAUAUAACAUGGAAAAUCGAUUCAGAAGAAAAUCAUAUCGUUAUAAUGAAUGAUUGUUAUAGAGGUUGCUUGCCACUUCUAAACUUUAGUACUACUAGAUUUUUUCUAAUAUAAACAAGUUAACAACUCUUGACAGUAAACAAAGUACAUAGAAACUUUACAUUGUUCAGUUCCUUAGCUUUCCCUUCAGUCUUGCAAAGCAGACUCUUGAUGUCAUAUGGAGCCAACUCUUCAUGUCUGUUAAGAAUGUGAAGUAGGCAUUCCUCCACGAACGGUUGACAAUCAAACAGCCUAAAAUUCCCCAGAACGUGACGAAGAAACCUAGCACCAUUGAUAUAUAAAACUCCAGAGAUGAGAACUCAUCAUCAUCAUCAUGUUCUUGUGGAUUGGUGUUGCUUCCACGAUCGAUAGGGGGAGCAUAUCCAGGACACUCUUCAAGAGGAGGACCGCAGAGUUGAGCAUUGCCACUAUAGGAUGAUCUAUCGAAACUCUGCAGUUGAGUGCUUGAUGGAAUUCUUCCUGAUAAGUGGUUGUUCGAUAAGUCCAACACACUAAGAAAAGUCAAGUUAGAAAGGCCCUGAGGGAUCAUGCCAGAAAGUUGGUUUCUUGACAAGUCGAGGGACUCCAACAACUUCAUUUGACCUAUUCCUUCAACGACAGUUCCAUUAAGAUCAUUUCUCGAGAGGUUCAAUGAUCUCAAUCCUCUCAUUUCAGCUAUCUCUUUAGGGAUACCUCCAACUAAUUUAUUACUUGAAAGAUCAAUGAUCUUCAGAUAUAGUAAAGCAUUCUUGUACUCGGACUCCUGGUUUUUCCAUUGAAUCAGUAAAUCACCUAUGUACAAGUAAGAUCCUGGAAUAUAGUCAUAACGGACUUUAAAAUCCAUUGACUCACCAGAGCCAUUUUCUUGACGCAAUAUGGUAAAGUUGUUGAGGCACUGUGGAAUUUUCCCAGAUAAUCCAUUUUCUGAAAGGUCCAGUAUCUGAAGAAAUUGAAGCUGGCAGAUAAGUGAUGGAAUGCUGCCAUCGAAUUUGUUGGAACGUAGGCUUAGAAUGCGCAAUUGGAGUAGGUCAGUCCCUAUCCAUGCUGGGAUUCUUCCAGUCAACUUAUUCCCUCCAAUAUCCAAGAUUUGCAGCAGCUGACAUUGUGAAAAAGAAGGCAACAUUCCUCUAAAGCUGUUCUGGCGUAUGUAUAACGCCUCCAAAUUUGUCAAGGAGCCUAAUGAUUGUGGAACUUUUCCGGAGAAAUUGUUGUAGGCUAGAUUUAGAACAGCUAGAUUACUCAUAUUCAUCCAACAAUCAGGAACUUCUCCUGAAAAUUGGUUGCGUGACAAGUCGAUGGAAGUGGCAGCUCCUAUUGUAUUUCUACAAAUGGAAGAAAUGGAUCCAGAGAAGUGAUUUUUAUGAAGGUAAAAGAUCUGUAUAUUGGCAGGAACUAGUGGCAAAUGUCCUGAAAAGUUGUUAGAACUUAAAUCUAUAAUCAUGUAAUCUUGUUUACUCACUAUGAACUCCGAAACUCUGCCACUGAUGUGGUUGUUAGAGAGAUUCAGAAUCUUGAGCUCGGGAGGAAGAUUGGAGAACCAACUUGGUAGCAUGUCUGAUAUAUUCGCAAGAGAAAUAUCAAGAAGAGUGUAGUUAUUCUGAGUUUGUAGCCAUUUCGGAAAAGAAGGUCCCAUAUUGCAAGAUGGAAGCCUUAUAAAUUGUAGUUGAAAAGGAGGAACCCAAUCGAAUCUCGUGUUCAAAGACAACAAGUUGAAGGAUAGGUCUAAGUCUACUAAACUGGAGAGGUUUGAAAAGUGGGACUCUGUGAUUGUACCCUUCAGGACAUUAUAAGAAGCAUCAAACCUUUCCAGGUUUGAUAGUUGCCCCAUACUUUCUGGUAAACCCUCUAAUCUAUUGGACGAGACGUCAAAAAUUCUAAGCUGUGAAAGUUUUCCAAUACCUUGUGGUAUCCUCCCUUGAAAUUGAUUAGAGCCAAGAUGCAACUCUCUUAAUGAUGGAAAAAGUGCUAAAUCUGGUAAUGGCCCUCUCAUUUGGUUAUCAGACAAGUCUAGAUACUCGAGGCUCGAAACUUGUCCCACUCUUUCCAUGAAAAAACCAUUCAGCAUAUUCUUCUGCAGGUAUAAUUUCUUCAAGGAUGAAAAUCUUGUGACAUUAACAAUUGAACCAAACAACGAGUUGUCGUUCAAUCCCAAAACCUCAAGUGAUUUCCUACUACCUGAUAACCUGAGAAACAACUCAGGAAGCCAUUGGUAUGUCUGAGUGUUAGACAUGUCCAGAUAACGUAGACGUGUCAAAUUCCCAAAAGAACUUGGAACCCCACCUUCAGCCCCAAAAUUAUUAGCAAGAUUAAGAUGUUCAAGAUACAUCAAGCUCCCAAAGCGAUCAUCAAUUUGACGACUGAGUUGAUUAUGAGAAAGGUCUAUGCUAGUUAGGCUUGUGCUAAAAUUGAAUAACCAGCUAUAUUCAGAUGAAGUAGAAAACUCAUUACAACAUAAAUGAAGAACAGAAAGAGAGAUCAAAGAUGAAUUAGCUAGAUCAGCUGGAGACGGAACGAAUUUAGAGAGUCCACAAACACUCAAGUCCAAUUCUUUCAAUGAAGGGACCUUAGUUAUCUCUCGAAACCAGUUUCUUGCUUGGAAAUCGUUACCACCAAGGCGCAAGAAUUCUAGAGAGGAGAGAUGAGAAAGCCACACAAGGUCCUUUACUAUAAGAGAGAUCAAGAAUCCUCAAAGAAGUUAGAUUCUGGAACUGUGCUGGAAUUUCACCAGAAAAAUCAGAAGAUGAAAGGUUUAAGUACUCCAGUCUCUUAAGGGAGCCUAUGAAUCUUGGUAUCUCACUAUUUUCAAAUCCAUUAACACUGAGGUCCAAAAAAUUCAAAUACUCCAACUCAAGUAGAGAAGGACUAACUUUACCUGUCAAUAUUGGAGCAAAACAAGCAUGGCCUGGACAAGUAACCUCACUGUGGAGAUCAAGAACAAUAACAUGACUUGUUCUUUUGUCACAUUCAAUACCCUUCCAAUUGCAGCAUUCUUCUUCAUCACCCCAGGUAGAUAAACGACCAUAAUCGUCGUUAAGGCCUCUUUUAAAUUCAAGAAGGGCAUCUCUCUCCUUUUCUAUACAAAGGGUCUUGUUAACUUCUCUUGAAGUUAAUCCAAAAGCUGUCUCUAGGAGCAGUAAAGACCAAGUAAUAAGGAAAUGUCUUGGAUUAGUUCUUUUGCCCAUGGUUCUAUACAAAAGGUCUUGUUAAAUUCUCUGUAUUUCUGAAAUUUUUAGUAUCUACUUGUUUUUAUAUAAAUAGGAAACAGAAAUCCAUGACUUUGAAGUCUUCUCAAACCCAACCAAAAUAUUAGAAAACACUCAACAACAACAACAACAUACCUACUAUACUCCGUGGGGUCUGGGGAGGGUAGUGUGUACACAACCUUAUCCGUACUAUUGUCAAGGUAGUGAGACUAUUUCUGAAUAUUAGAAGAAGACUCAACAACAACAACAUACCUAUUAUAUUACGAGAAGUGGGGUUCAGGGAGGGUGGUGUGUAUGCAGCCUUGCCGGUACUUUUGUGAAGGUAGAGAGGUUGUUUUUGAAUAUUAACAAAGCUUGAUAUCAUAGUCAAGUGACCCUACUUUGAGAAGAAAAUAAAAGAAAAAUUAUACCAUAUGAACAUUUAAUUUUCUUCUACUUUGACUAAGUAGCAUAAACAAGUACCUAGAGUCAAAAAAAAGAUGGAGUUUAUUUGACUUUUACAUACCAAAAUAAAUAGUAAGAAAAGCAAAAUGGGAGAAGGGUCAACAUUAGAGUAGGCCAUCCAGACAUAUAUCACUAAUGUGAAUGUGAAUUGAGAAAUUUCUAAGGGCUAGGCUGAAGCUUUUCAUCUUUUUUUUUUAUAUAAUAGUAAUGUUCGGAUCAGCUUGCAUACACCUCAAUUAUCGAGUUUUUUCUUAAAAGUAAAACAAAGUACACACAAGUUUUACAUUUAUCAGGCCCUUGUAAGAUUUUUCAUGAGUCUUGCAAACCAGACUCUUGAUAUCAUAUCGAGCCAACUCCAACUCAUCAUGUCCGUUAAGAAUGUGAAGUAGGCAUUCCUCCAAGAACGGUUGACAAUUAAACAGCCCAAGAUUCCCCAAAAUGUGACAAAGAAACCUAUCACCAUUGAUAUAUGAAACUCCAGAUAUGAGUACCCCUCAUCAUCAUCAUGUUCUUGUGGAUUUGUGUUGCUGCCAUGAUCGAUAUGGGGUCUAGGAGGAGCAUAUCCGGGACAUUCUUGAAGAGGAGGACCACAGAGUUGAGCAUUAUCACUGUAGGAUGGUCUAUCAAAACUUAGCAGUUGAGUGCUUGAUGGAAUUAUCCCCGAUAACUGGUUGUUCGACAAGUCCAGCACACUAAGAAAGGUCAAAUUAGCAAGACCUUGAGGGAUCACACCAGAAAGCUAGUUUCUUGACAAGUCAAGAGACUCCAACAUCUUCAUGUGACCAAUGCCUUCAAUGACACUUCCAUUUAGAUCAUUUCUUGAAAGAUUAGGAGACUAUAAUCCUCUCAUCUCAGCUAUCUCUUUAGGUAUACCGCCAACCAAUUUAUUACUUGAAAGAUCAAUAGUCUUCAGAUAUAAUAAAGGAUUCUUGUACUCAGACUCCUGUUCUUUCCAUUGAAUCAAUAAGUCACCAAUGUAUGAAUAGUAAGUAAGAGGAAUAUUACGACCUUCAAUAUAAAAUCCCAUUGGUUCACCAGAACUAUCAUCCUGAUACAAUAAGGUAAAAUUGUUGAAACAAUGUGGAAUUUCCCCUGAUAAUCCAUUUGCCGAAAGGUCCAGUAUCUGAAGAGAUUGAAGCUGAUAGAUAACUGAUGGUAUGCUGCCAUAGAAUCUGUUGAACCGCAGGCUUAGAAUCCGCAAAUUGAAUAGAUCAGUCCCUAUCCAUGCUGGGAUUCUUCCUGUCAACUUAUUCCCUCCAAUAUCCAAGAUUUGCAACAGCUGACAUUGUGAAAAAGAAGGCAACAUUCCACUAAAACUGUUUUGGUGUAAGUAUACAGCCUCCAAACUUGCCAAGGAGCCUAAUGAAGGUGGAACUUUUCCAGAAAAAUUGUUAUAAGCUAGAUUAAGAACAGCUAGAUUAGACAUAUUCAUCCAACAAUCUGGAAGUUCUCCUGAGAAUCGGUUGCGUGACAAGUCAAGAGAAGUGGUGGCAGUAUAACUUUGACAAAUGAAAGAGAUGGAUCCGACAAACUGAUUUUUAUGCAGAUAAAAUAUUUGGACAUUGGUAGGGACUAGUGGUAAAGGCCCUGAAAAGUUGUUAGAGCUUAAUUCUAUAACCCUGUAAGCAUAUUUAUUCUCUAUUAAGUCAGAAACUCUUCCACUGAUUUGGUUGUUUGAGAGAUUCAAGAUCAUUAGAUCAGGGGGCAAACCAAAAGAACCAACUUGGAAGCGCGCCUGAAAUACUUGCAAGAGAGAUAUCAAGAACAGUAUAGUUAUGUUGAUUUUGAAUCCAUUUUGGGAAAGAAGGUCCCAAAUUGCAAGAUGGAAGGCUUACAACUUUUAGCUGAAAAGGUGGAAGCCAAUCAAAGCUUGUCUUCAGUGCCAAUGAGUUGAAUGACAAGUCCAAAUACACUAAACUGGAGAGGUUUGAAAGGUGGGUCUCAGUGAUUGUACCCUUCAGGACAUUAUAGGAGGCAUCGAAACUUUCCAGGUUCGAUAGUUUCCCCAUACUUUCUGGUAAUCCAUCCAGUCUAUUGGACGAGAC
rnacentral:lncRNA from 1 species